rnacentral:lncRNA from 1 species
UUUCCACAACAUCCUUACCAAUAAUAUUCUCACAACUACCACUAUCAAUAAUCACAUCAAAUAAAUUGUUAGUAUUCUCAUAACUACCACUAUCAAUAAUCACAUCAAAUAAAUGGCUAGUGAUAGUGCACCUAAUUCGAAAUAAUUGAUGUCGCUUAGUAUUAUCUUUUUAUUUUGAAGACAAUAUCAUUCUUCUCACCACAUAAUUUUGGCCAUCAUCAUAAUCCUCAUACUCAUCAUCAUCCCCAUUUGCACUACAACAAAUCUCAUCAUCCUCUUCUUCUCGUUCCACCACAUGAACUGCUUUUUUGAAAGUACAAUCACUAAAUCUAUGACCAGAUUGAUUACAUUUGAAACACUACCUUAGGGUUGGUUUGACAUAAGGAUUUACAAUUUUUUGCCAUUCCUUCGCAUAUGUCAGCUUUCCAAUUACCUUCUCUUCCGUGUACCAGUUAUUGCGUGCAGAACUAUCAUGAAGUAAUUUAUUCUUGUCGUUGGAUGUUCUAUCGUUAUCCUUGCUGUAACUCUUGUAAGAAAAAUCAAGUCUAUUCUUUUCUCGCUGUAGACACUAAAUUUUUAGGUGAAAUAAACAUUAUAGAAGAAAAAAUGAGAAAAAGCAAGAAACAAAAAAAAUGAAAAUGAAAAGAAAAAAGAAGAAAAAAU